rnacentral:rRNA from 1 species
CCUACGGGUGGCAGCAGUAGGGAAUAUUCCACAAUGGGCGCAAGCCUGAUGCAGCAACGCCGCGUGGAUGAAGAAGGUCUUCGGAUUGUAAAACUCUGUUGAUAGAGAAGUAAGUGCGGGAGAGUAAGUCUUCACGUUUCGACGGUAUCUAACCAGAAAGCCACGGCUAACUACGUGCCAGCAGCCGCGGUAAUACGUAGGUGGCAAGCGUUAUGCGGAUUUAUUGGGCGUAAAGGGAACGCAGGCGGUUUGUUAAGUCUGAUGUGAAAGCCUGCGGCUUAACCGGGGAAGUGCAUGUGAAACUGGAAGCCUUGAGUGCAGAGGAGGAGGGUGGAACUCAAGGUGUAGCGGUGAAAUGCGUAGAGAUAAGGAAGAACACCGGUGGCGAAGGC